CCAACAGUCACAUUUCUCAUAGAUGCAGGUCCAAGCAAAACCUAUAAAAUGUUGCUGCUCCAUGUCAUUACUCUGGCUUUGGUUUUGUCUUAUGGAUGUGCAGAAAUACAUCUGAUACAAGCUCAGUUGUCGAUUACCAGGGCAGAAACUAAAAC